GAGAAUAAGAAUGGUAUCUAGCCUUUAAAACCAAUUCCAUGUGUUGUGACAUCAAUCCCAUAAGCCUGGAUUUAUGGUUAAGAAGUUCAUUGACUUACUAGGAAUCACAUCUCUAAAGUGAGAAGGAUUUGAUAUUGGGCAUUGCCUUCCCUUACUUACUAAUGGGAAAUUAAUCAGUCCAACCUUUUCUGAUUCACGUAGCAAAGAAGCCCUUCUAAUUGCCUAUUCUUUGUGCGAGGGUGGGGAUAUCUUCUAGUAUUGAUUAACUUGCUAAUAACCCCUCUAAAUAAGGGGGAAGGAAACUAGCCAUACUGCCGAAAAUAAGUCCCUCCCGAACAGUCGGAUUCAGAUUAGUUCAAAUCGAACUAGCUAGAUUCUUUUGCUCUAGGCCUUAUAAGGUUCUUUUACUAUUCCUAUUCCCUGCUCUACUUAAUGUACGAGGAGGAAUAGAGAUCGACAAGCAAGAGUCAAGCCUCUUUCCUGAUUAGCGAAUAGUGCCUCACUUUCCUUCUAAGUUGUCAUCAGUCUCAGACAAGAAAGAAGAUCAAAUAGAAUCCGAUUUCUGACAUGAAAGAGUAGUAAAGCAUCGAAGCAAAUAGCGUAAAAGGAUACCUAUUGAAUAGGCUUUGGCACGUCGAGGAAGAGAAUAAGCUCAAGGCGAUGAAGUCAAGGUGUCAGACGGAUAGACAACUUAUUUAACCUUGAUGAAAUGAGUCGAGGGGGAUGACUCAAGCUAGUACAAAAAAGCCUCUUACGAAAGCCUUCUUUCUAUGCCUGUGCCCAAAAAGAGGGAUAGGUAAAAAGGUACACAGUAGUAGUUGCGAGCCUAAGAUCAAAGCAAGUUCAAUCGUACAGUCAAUAGAGUACGCUUGUUGUUUGACUUUAUAUCCCUCUUUUGGGUAAGUAAUGAAUCCUCUCCCCCUCUUAUUUCACACUUAACGAACUGGUCUAUCUCCUAUCUGUCCCUGGGACCAGUUUCGUUCUUAUAGGUCUUUAACCCACCCUUCCAUACAUGUCUGGCUCCAUUUCAUUCCUUUCGGGAUUCCUAUUUCUCUACAUCUGUCAACUUUCGAAAGGUGUAGGAUUUCUAAAGUAGCCCCCUCCUAAAGCCAUGAGAGUUGGUCAGAAAAACAAACGUUCUCAUAGACUAUAUUGAGGAGUAAGGAAAGGGCUUCCAUGACAAUGAGGUCCUUCUUGCAUGGGCUUGCUUUGAUGAUGGGUAGGCUUGUUGUGCUUGGGCCCUUCUGUGGGCUUUCAUCGUGGUUUCAUCGAAAUAGGCACAAGUCUUCAGUUGUAGGACUUUCUUUGAUGGUUCAUGUAUGCUUGGGUCUUUCAUUUGGGCCCUAUUGGGGCACCCUGUCCUAUGGACCAAUGCGUAUAAGCUUAGGCUUUCUUAAUGUGGCUCAUUUAACGACUCAGUACAUAGAUGUCACGAGUCCAUUGACAUAGAAUAUGGAAGAUUUUCUACGUAAGCUGGUUGUUCAAAGUUUGUUUGUUCAUACAGGAAGUGUGAUUUUGGGGGGAUUUUGUUUGCUCCGCAAGGUAGCCAGAGCCAGCCAGUUUUUCACAAAAUAGGCAUGAUUCAACUGCAAAACAGAAAAGUAGUGUGGAGAACUAGUAAGAAUUAUGCAUGCCAUCCAAUUCGUGACGCAUGGAGAGAUUCCUCUACCACUCUAUAAAUGGAGGCUCGAUAAGUGUCUUUACUUCAUCAAAUUCAAAUCAAAGAAAUUGAGUACUAGCACGUAUGGCUAUGGCUGCUACAAACAUGCUUUCUGCAAUUGCUGCUGAAAUGCGGCAACUAAAAAAUGAAAUUCAAGAGCGCACGUAGAGCGCUAAACCUCUUUUCGAGAAAUGUUAGAGCAAGAGAUCCUGCAGAGGCAGAAGAACGCAUCCGCGCUGCUAGAGAGAACAUAAGGGAUUUGGAGAGGAGGCUGCAAGCACUGCGGGAGGAGCAACAAGCACUCAUUGUGCGGGCUGUCACCCUCGGUGACCGGGAAGACUAGAAGAAAUUUUAAAAAGUAGUUACUUUAUCUUCUUUCUAAUUGUUAAGGCCUAUCCUUUGACUUAUUUCUGUUUCGAAAAUAAUUUAUGUAGUUAGCAUAGUAAAGGCAUAUGUGGUUGUUUAUGUAAUGUAGUGCUUUAUGUAGUAGUAAUGAAUAAAUCUUUUGGAUA
rnacentral:lncRNA from 1 species